rnacentral:rRNA from 1 species
GACGAACGCUGGCGGCGUGCUUAACACAUGCAAGUCGAACGGAAAGGCCCUGCUUUUGUGGGGUGCUCGAGUGGCGAACGGGUGAGUAACACGUGAGUAACCUGCCCUUUACUUUGGGAUAACUUCAGGAAACUGGGGCUACUACCGGAUCGGAGCUCCUGCUGCAUGGUGGGGGUUGGAAAGUUUCGGCGGUUGGGGAUGGACUCGCGGCUUAUCAGCUUGUUGGUGGGGUAGUGGCUUACCAAGGCUUUGACGGGUAGCCGGCCUGAGAGGGUGACCGGCCACAUUGGGACUGAGAUACGGCCCAGACUCCUACGGGAGGCAACAGUGGGGAAUAUUACACAAUGGGCGGAAGCCUGAUGCAGCAACGACGCGUGCGGGAUGACGGCCUUCGGGGUGUAAACCGCUUUCGCCUGAGACGAAGCGUGAGUGACGGUAAUGGGUAAAGAAGCACCGGCUAACUACGUG